AACGAACGCUGGCGGCGUGCUUAACACAUGCAAGUCGAACGCGAAAGGGACUUCGGUCCUGAGUAAAGUGGCGCACGGGUGGGUAACGCGUAGAUAACCUGUCUUCAUGUCUGGAAUAAUACGCCGAAAGGGGUACUAAUACCGGAUAUUCUUGCUUUUCAUAAGUUAUGCAAGCAAAGGUGGCCUCUGCAUAUGCUACUGCAUGAAGAGGGGUCUGCGUACCAUUAGCUAGUAGGUGGGGUAAUGGCCUACCUAGGCGACGAUGGUUAGCGGGUCUGAGAGGAUGAUCCGCCACACUGGCACUGGAACACGGGCCAGACUCCUACGGGAGGCAGCAGUGAGGAAUAUUGCGCAAUGGGGGAAACCCUGACGCAGCGACGCCGCGUGAGUGAAGGAAGGCCUUCGGGUCGUAAAGCUCUGUCAAGAGGAAAGAAGUGUACAAUGGCUAAUACCUGUUGUAUUUGACGGUACCUCUAAAGGAAGCACCGGCUAACUCCGUGCCAGCCGCAGC
rnacentral:rRNA from 1 species